CAGCCGCCGCGGGAAUACGUAGGUGGCAAGCGUUGUCCGGAAUUAUUGGGCGUACAGGGCUCGCAGGCGGUUUCUUAAGUCUGAUGUGAAAGCCCCCGGCUCAACCGGGGAGGGUCAUUGGAAACUGGGAAACUUGAGUGCAGAAGAGGAGAGUGGAAUUCCACGUGUAGCGGUGAAAUGCGUAGAGAUGUGGAGGAACACCAGUGGCGAAGGCGACUCUCUGGUCUGUAACUGACGCUGAGGAGCGAAAGCGUGGGGAGCGAACAGGAUUAGAUACCCCGGUAGUCCCUGUCUCUUAUAC
rnacentral:rRNA from 1 species